AACGAACGCUGGCGGCAUGCCUAACACAUGCAAGUCGAACGAGACCUUCGGGUCUAGUGGCGCUCGGGUGCGUAACGCGUGGGAACCUGCCUUUAGGUUCGGAAUAACUCAGAGAAAUUUGAGCUAAUACCGGAUGAUGUCUUCGGACCAAAGAUUUAUCGCCUUUAGAUGGGCCCGCGUUGGAUUAGCUAGUUGGUGGGGUAAAGGCCUACCAAGGCGACGAUCCAUAGCUGGUCUGAGAGGAUGAUCAGCCACACUGGGACUGAGACACGGCCCAGACUCCUACGGGAGGCAGCAGUGGGGAAUAUUGGACAAUGGGCGAAAGCCUGAUCCAGCAAUGCCGCGUGAGUGAUGAAGGCCUUAGGGUUGUAAAGCUCUUUUACCCGAGAUGAUAAUGACAGUAUCGGGAGAAUAAGCUCCGGCUAACUCCGUG
rnacentral:rRNA from 1 species